ACCCGGUCAACCAACCGAGAUGGCCACUAUGGCCAAAAAUAGAACAUACAGGUAAAAUGUAGAUUUUGGCUUAUAACUCUGAAACCAAAGCAUUUAGAGCAAAUCUGACAGGGUGAAAUUGUCUCUUCAGUGAAAAUCUAUCUGCCCAGGAAUUUUCAGACAAAUCUGACAACCCGUUGAUGGAUUGCUGCCCCCAAAUUAGUAAUUUGAAGGAAAUUUUGCAGAG
rnacentral:lncRNA from 1 species